AGCAGCCGCGGUAAUUCCAGCUCCAAUAGCGUAUAUUAAAGUUGUUGCAGUUAAAAAGCUCGUAGUUGAAUUUCGGGAUUGGCGCAUCGGUCGUGCCUUACGGGGUAUGAACUGGUGCAGUCAAUUUCUCACCUUCUGGAGAACCGCGAUGUCCUUAAUUGGGUGCCGCGGGGAACCAGGACCUUUACUUUGAAAAAAUUAGAGUGUUUAAAGCAGGCAUUUUUGCUUGAAUACAUUAGCAUGGAAUAAUAAAAUAGGACGGCAUGGUUCUAUUUUGUUGGUUUCUAGGACCACCGUAAUGGUUAAUAGGGAUAGUUGGGGGCAUUAGUAUUCAAUUGUCAGAGGUGAAAUUCUUGGAUUUAUUGAAGACUAACUACUGCGAAAGCAUUUGUCCAAGGAUGUUUUCUAUUAAUCAAGAACGAAAGUUAAGGGGAUCGAAGACGAUCAGAUACCGUCGUAGUCUUAACCAUAAACUAUGCCGACUAGGGAUCGGAUGAUGUUAAUUUUUAAUGUACUCAUU
rnacentral:rRNA from 1 species